rnacentral:misc_RNA from 1 species
AAAAUCAAUAAAAUUUUCUCUUUAUCAAUGCCCAGUGACCUUAACUGCCAGCAUGGUCAUUCGUCACCCAGGAAUGGAUCGGCCUGAGAAGUGAGGACCACAGCAUCAGCAAUCCCAUUCUUCCAUGGCGGCCCAAGCACCUUUCUAACGUGUUCUUGAUUUUGUCUUUCAUUUACUUGCCAUUUCUUUAUCCUCCCUUUUAUGCAUACUCGUCACUCC